GUUUCCGUAGGUGAACCUGCGGAAGGAUCAUUACCACACCUAAAAAACUUUCCACGUGAACCGUAUCAACCCUUUUAGUUGGGGGCUUCUGUUCGGCUGGCUUUUGCUGGCUGGGCGGCGGCUCUAUCAUGGCGAGCGCCUGGGCCUUCGGGUCUGAGCUAGUAGUCUUCUUUUAAACCCUUUCUUAAAUACUGAAUAUACUGUGGGGACGAAAGUCUCUGCUUUUAACUAGAUAGCAACUUUCAGCAGUGGAUGUCUAGGCUCGCACAUCGAUGAAGAACGCUGCGAACUGCGAUACGUAAUGCGAAUUGCAGGAUUCAGUGAGUCAUCGAAAUUUUGAACGCAUAUUGCACUUCCGGGUUAGUCCUGGGAGUAUGCCUGUAUCAGUGUCCGUACAUCAAACUUGCCUCCCUUCCUUCCGUGUAGUCGGUGGAUGGGGACGUGCAGACGUGAAGUGUCUUGCGAUUGGUCUUCGGGCCGGCUGCGAGUCCUUUUAAAUGUACAGAACGGUACUUCUCUUUGCUCGAAAAGCAUAAUGGAAUUGGUUGUGGAAGCUUCCCGGUGGCAAGUCGGCGACUGGUUUGUCUGCUACGGCGUUUAAUGGAGGAAUGUUCGAUUCGCGGUAUGGUUAGCUUCGGCUGAACAAUGCGCUUAUUGGAUGUUUUUCCUGCUGUGGUGGUAAUGACUGGUGAACCGUAGCUAUGCAGGGAUUGGCCUUUGAACUGAGGAUGUUGUGUGAAGUAGAGUGGCGGUUUGGCGCAAGCUGGGCUGUCGAGGGUCGAUCCUAUUUGGGAAAUUUGUGUUGGCGGCUUCGGCUGUUGGCAUCUCAAUUGGACCUGAUA
rnacentral:rRNA from 1 species